UCAACUACUGAUCUUUUUACUAAGGCCCAGGACUUUUUACCCUCCCAUGGUCCCACUGUAUCCCACCUGCCCCCUAGCCCCUAACUGAGGUCUGCUCCACUCUGCUGAGGUCUGUGUUUAGGGGUAAAAUUGCUGACCUCAGUUAGGUCUUAUGGUGGUUCUCCUGCCAGAGGUGGUUGGGUUUCAUUUUUAUUAAAAAAGUGAAAAUAGCUGUUGUAAUUAGACCUGUCUUGUUCUUGAUUAGGUUUAAACUGGUCUCUCCAAGCUGCAUCUGUCAUAAUGAAUACAUCUUGACACUUUCCUUGGACUGGGAGCACUGGCCCCAUACGGAAAGGCUGCUGGUGCAGGCAGGAGUCUGAACCUGCCCUUCUCCUCAGAUGGCUUCCUUGCCCCGUUGGUUCUCAAUUUCCUCAUCUGAGGGGUUGGCUUGCGAAGCCUCUGUAGUGUGGUUCUUUGUUCAUUUUGAGCUUCAGCUCUUUGCUUGUGAAGGAUUUUAUUCUUGGCUUUUGGUGGUGUCAACACAUUAUGGGUUAAUGCUACUAUUAAAAUUUGUCUCUAAUGCAUGAAGCUACUUCAUUGAAAGAGGAAUUUUUGAUAUAGUAUUCAUGGUCAUUAUAAGGAUAGCAGAUUUGGUCCAGCUUAUUGGCAGAGUUAAUAAUAUACUUUCCACUUCAGUGAUUAUACUGUAGAAAUUAACAUCUCAAUUUUGUUUGAAACUUUCCCAUUUCAGACAACAUGCCAAUUUGGCUGGCACGCUGAGCGGCCAUGCCUCCUGGGUGCUGAACGUUGCAUUCUGUCCUGAUGACACUCACUUUGUUUCCAGGUACUUAAUGAUUCUUAGCAGUUUCUAAAAUGCUGGGGAGAUGAGAGCAGUCUUCUUGUAUAGAUUGCCUUAACAUUUAAAGAUGUUUGACCCUUUUUUAUUCAGUUAGCCUUUCUUUUCUGCAGUUCUUAAAAUUUUUAUUUAGUGAUGUUAGUUGACCUUAGCUGGAACAAAAGUCAACAAGUAAUCCUUUUAAACAGUAAAACUCUUAGUUUUUUCAUUAUAAAUUGAGGCUUCUACCAAAGUGACUCUAAGGUAGACUUGUGUUCCAAUGGUAACUUAAAAUAUGUAAAUGUUUGUAAAAUGUUGUUUAUAGAUCCCAGUGUUGGUCAGGCCUGGGAUGGCCAAGACAGUUGGAAAGCAGGAGAUGGACAACUUGAAGGCAUUGCACAGUGCUUUAGAGGCCUCCUGCGAGCCUUGGUUUUGAAGCUUUAACAGGCCUCCCUCCCAUCUGGAAAUAGGUAGCUGUGUCUGAGACUCCUGGAGAACAAUUAAUAUGAGGGCCAGGCAGAUCACAAUUUCAGGAAAAUGGCUACCCUGUGAGGAGAGAAAGCCACCCAAUGAUGCUGAUACCUGGCCAUUUCCUGUACCGAGGCAUGGGGUUGGGGGGUCUGAAGUUAGAAGAAUGUAAGUCAUCAAAGGAUUUUUGGUCGAAGUCCUUCCAACUUCAAACCGAUACUAAUGUUCACUUUUUAAAAUAGUUCGUCUGACAAAAGUGUAAAAGUUUGGGAUGUUGGAACGAGGACUUGUGUUCACACCUUCUUUGAUCACCAGGAUCAGGUAUGGCAUUAUUAUUUCAUCUUUAGAUAGUCGGGGUUGUUUGACCAUUGUACCAAAGAGAUUUUCUUUUCCUGACCUUGUUGCUUGAGCUGUGGAUACCAGUAGAUGCCUGGGCCUGAGCUGCUCUAUCUGCUCAGUCAUCCAUGUAGCCAGAGUUCCUGUGCAGAGUCUGGGGUGCAGAGGCUGGGAUGUGCUGUCAGCCUAGCAACUCACGAGGCAUAUCCCCACAUAGGCUGGAAAACAUGGUGUUAGCCCCACAGCCUUUAAAUGCCGUCUUUGGAAAUUGCUGCAGCUGGUGUCUGGGGCCCUCUCCUGGGGGCUGCUGCGCCAUGGCAGGCUCACCAAGGACCUUCCUCUUCAGGAGAUUCCAUUGCUUAAACACAAUCAUCGCUUGUCAUUUUUGGGACUGUCCAAAGAAGAGAUGUGAUUUUUUUUUUUUUAAUAUAGUAGAAGCUGGAAAUUCAUACAAGUUUUUUGGCUUUAGUGUUAUUGAUAACUUUUCAGUCUUUAAAAGGAAACUGUUCUCACAAGCAACUUUAUCUUUGCCAAGGUGAAUAUGUGAAAUAGCAAAGGUGUUCUAGUGCAAUACUGCUGAGUCUUUCAUGUGUGCUCGUAUCCCCUGGGAACCUGGUGAAAAUGCAGAUGCUGCUUCACUAGGUCUGGCAGAGGGCCUGGGAUUCUGCAUUUCUAACAGGCUUCCAGGUGAGGCCAAGGCUGCUGGUCCUAACCACACUGUAAGGUCUUGGGGAACUGAGCAUAAAAAAUAAAAUGUCCAUGGCAAUAUAAUAUUGGCUUUUAAUAUAUUUUAAAUAUUUUUAGAUGGUCCUAUAGAUUUCUCCUCUUUGAAAUGGAACUUAAAGUUAACUAACAUUGUUCAUGCUUAUUUUUCAACUUAAAUUGUCCCAACAAAAUUGAGGGGGUUCUAUCUUGAUAUUCCACUUCUGGAUUUAAGCAUCUUACUCAGGGAGUAAGUCCUGGCUAGCUGUGUUUCCUUGUAUGUAUGGAUCAUUGCGGUGCUGUGUCAGAGGCUGGAGUGAAAGGCCAUCAUGCAGCCCAAUCCCAACACUAAAAUCAGAGUAGGGUGACAGGCUUACCACCCAGAAUCACCUCCUAAUAAUCAGGAAGUUAUUUAUGAUUAGAGAAACUCCAACCACAUCAAUUCUGUCUGGGAAGGAGGUGUGAAUCAGUUAAUUUAACACAUAGCAAAUAAAAAUCUAUGGUCCACAAUAUCAUGUUGUCUAGCUCCUGGGGACAGGCAGGCUCCAUAGGCCACUAAUAACAGAGUGAGAAUUACUGACUGUGGGGGGCGGACACAAGGGGUCAGCUGAGGAGCGCAGUUUGUGACUUUCCCUAUAGGCAGUGACCUCGGGGUAGUUGUGGGGCUCUUUCUUCCUGGAAGCAUAAAUGUUGGUCUCUUAUGGCUUCCGUCUUCCUGGCAUUAGGUUACACUUCAGGAUUCUGACUCUUUGAAAGGGUUGUAGAUAGUCUUGAUUAGUACUGUAUUUAAAAAUGAUUUUUUUUUUUUUUUUUGGAGUAUGGGAAGGGGCAGGAAUUCUAAUUAAAUAGCAAUAAUGGAAGGUGCUCGGUUAAAGCCUCCAUUCUCACUGAUUUAGAAAGUACAAGAACAUCCUCAUCUCAGUUUUGGUAGAUUCAGAAUAACGAGAAAAUAAGGAUGUUCAUUUCAUAAAUAUUAUAAAGAAUAAAGGCAUUUGUAGAACUAUCUUUUUUUAAAUUUACAGGUCUGGGGAGUAAAAUACAAUGGAAAUGGUUCAAAAAUUGUGUCUGUUGGAGAUGACCAGGAAAUUCACAUCUAUGAUUGUCCAAUUUAAACAUCAAAGUCUCCAGGCUUAUGCUGCAAAGAGAAUGUACGGAUUGAUCAUGACAUUCCUUACCUUCUUAGGCUUGUUUAAAAGAAAUAUAGCAUUUAUUGUAGCAAAGACUUAAAUUUUGUAGAUACAAUAUGAAUCUUUUCAUGUUUUAUUGGAAAUGCUGUUCAUACUUUAACAUAAAGCUUUCUUAAUGCAAA
rnacentral:lncRNA from 1 species